rnacentral:rRNA from 1 species
GAUGAACGCUGGCGGCGCGCCUAAUACAUGCAAGUCGAGCGAAUGGAUUGAGAGCUUGCUCUUAUGAAGUUAGCGGCGGACGGGUGAGUAACACGUGGGUAACCUGCCCAUAAGACUGGGAUAACUCCGGGAAACCGGGGCUAAUACCGGAUAACAUUUUGAACCGCAUGGUUCGAAAUUGAAAGGCGGCUUCGGCUGUCACUUAUGGAUGGACCCGCGUCGCAUUAGCUAGUUGGUGAGGUAACGGCUCACCAAGGCAACGAUGCGUAAACAUCCUGAGAGGUUGAUCGGCCGAACUGGGACCGAGACACGGCCCAGACUCCUACGGGAGGCAGCAGUAGGGAAUCUUCAGCAAUGGACGAAUGUCUGACGGAGCAUCGCAGCGUGAGUGAUGAAGGCUUUCGGGUCGUAAAACUCUGUUGUUAGGGAAGAACAAGUGCUAGUUGAAUAAGCUGGCACCUUGACGGUACCUAACCAGAAAGCCACGGCUAACUACGUGCCAGCCGCCGCAGUAA